UUACCUCACGUUGAGACCCGAAAGACGGUGAAGCAUGCCUGCGUAGGUUGAAACCAGAGAAAACUCUGGCGGAGGACCGACGCGAUUCUGACGUGCAAAUCGAUCGUCAAACGUGAGUGCAGGAGUGAAAGACUAAUCGAACCAUCUUGUAGGUGGUUCCCUCCAAAGUUUUGCUUCCUUCGCGGAGUCGAGCGUUGAAUGUGCGAGUUCCAAGUGGACCAUUUUUGGUAAGUCGAACUGGUGUUGUGGAAUGAACCUAUCUUACACGCCCUUCUGUGUGUAGCCGUGGAUGUCGCGGGAAUUCACGAUUUUUAUAAAAUUUAUUAUCUGUAUUUUGAGUUUGUGGGUG
rnacentral:ncRNA from 1 species